rnacentral:rRNA from 1 species
GAUAAACGCUGGCGGCAGGCUUAACACAUGCAAGUCGAACGCCCCGCAAGGGGAGUGGCAGACGGGUGAGUAACGCGUGGGAAUCUACCUAGUUCUACGGAACAACAGAGGGAAACUUCUGCUAAUACCGUAUACGCCCUAAGGGGGAAAGAUUUAUCGGAAUUAGAUGAGCCCGCGUAAGAUUAGCUAGUUGGUGGGGUAAUGGCCUACCAAGGCGACGAUCGUUAGCUGGUCUGGGAGGAUGAUGAGCCACACUGGGACUGAGACACGGCCCAGACUCCUACGGGAGGCAGCAGCGGGGAAUAUUGGACAAUGGGCGCACGCCUGAUCCAGCCAUGCCGCGUUAGUGAUGAAGGCCUUAGGGUUGUAAAGCUGUUUCAGUGGGUAAGAUAAUGACGGUACCCACAGAAGAAGCCUCGGCUAACUUCGUGCCAGCCGCCGCAGUAAAAC